AGAAGAAGAAGAAGAAGAAGAAGAAGAAGAAGAAGAAGAAGAAGAAGAAGAAGAAGAAGAAGUCGCCAAGUAUGGUAGUGUCUGUGUGUGAUCUCAGUGCUAGCAUGAUCUGGAGACAGGCAAAUCCCUGGACCUCUGGCCAGCUCAGCCUACUUGGUGAACUCCAGGCCACUGAGAGACUCUGCCUCAAAAUAACAAGGUUGAUGGCUUUUGAGAAAGGAAAACUGAAGCUGUCUACUGGCUUCCAAAUAGAGAGAGAGAGAGAGAGAGAGAGCUCUAACCCCAAUGUGAUGAUAUUUACAAAUGGGGCCUUUGAGAGGUUUAAUUGAUGUGCCAUGGGUAGGACUCUUCUGCUGAGUCUAGCAUUCAUCUAAGAAGAGACACCAGUGAGCCUAUUCCUACUCUCUUCAUGUGAGGACCCGGCAAGACGGCAAGCCAUCUAUGCAAGCCAAGAAAUGUGGUCACCUCCAGACAUGACAUCCUUGGUGUCAGACCUCCCAGCCCCUGGAGCCGUGAGAACAAUCCUCUGCUGUUUUUGAAUCUCAACAUGCAAGGUCUGUUAUGGCAUGGCGACUGGAACGGACGA
rnacentral:lncRNA from 1 species